ACUUCCAAAGGAUAGUAGUAAUCCAAUGGUCUUAGGAACCAACAACCUUGGUGCAAAUCCAAGUGGAAGUA
rnacentral:tRNA from 1 species